UUAGGAGCUAGCCGUCGAAGGUGGGACAGAUGAUUGGGGUGAAGUCGUAACAAGGUAGCCGUAUCGGAAGGUGCGGCUGGAUCACCUCCUUUCUAAGGA
rnacentral:rRNA from 2 species